GGUUAAGCGACUAAGCGUACACGGUGGAUGCCCUGGCAGUCAGAGGCGAUGAAGGACGUGCUAAUCUGCGAUAAGCGUCGGUGAGGUGAUAUGAACCGUUAUAACCGGCGAUUUCCGAAUGGGGAAACCCAGUGUGUUUCGACACACUAUCAUUAACUGAAUCCAUAGGUUAAUGAGGCGAACCGGGGGAACUGAAACAUCUAAGUACCCCGAGGAAAAGAAAUCAACCGAGAUUCCCCCAGUAGCGGCGAGCGAACGGGGAGGAGCCCAGAGCCUGAAUCAGUGUGUGUGUUAGUGGAAGCGUCUGGAAAGGCGCGCGAUACAGGGUGACAGCCCCGUACACAAAAAUGCACAUAUUGUGAGCUCGAUGAGUAGGGCGGGACACGUGGUAUCCUGUCUGAAUAUGGGGGGACCAUCCUCCAAGGCUAAAUACUCCUGACUGACCGAUAGUGAACCAGUACCGUGAGGGAAAGGCGAAAAGAACCCCGGCGAGGGGAGUGAAAAAGAACCUGAAACCGUGUACGUACAAGCAGUGGGAGCCUCUUUAUGGGGUGACUGCGUACCUUUUGUAUAAUGGGUCAGCGACUUAUAUUCUGUAGCAAGGUUAACCGAAUAGGGGAGCCGAAGGGAAACCGAGUCUUAACUGGGCGUUAAGUUGCAGGGUAUAGACCCGAAACCCGGUGAUCUAGCCAUGGGCAGGUUGAAGGUUGGGUAACACUAACUGGAGGACCGAACCGACUAAUGUUGAAAAAUUAGCGGAUGACUUGUGGCUGGGGGUGAAAGGCCAAUCAAACCGGGAGAUAGCUGGUUCUCCCCGAAAGCUAUUUAGGUAGCGCCUCGUGAAUUCAUCUCCGGGGGUAGAGCACUGUUUCGGCAAGGGGGUCAUCCCGACUUACCAACCCGAUGCAAACUGCGAAUACCGGAGAAUGUUAUCACGGGAGACACACGGCGGGUGCUAACGUCCGUCGUGAAGAGGGAAACAACCCAGACCGCCAGCUAAGGUCCCAAAGUCAUGGUUAAGUGGGAAACGAUGUGGGAAGGCCCAGACAGCCAGGAUGUUGGCUUAGAAGCAGCCAUCAUUUAAAGAAAGCGUAAUAGCUCACUGGUCGAGUCGGCCUGCGCGGAAGAUGUAACGGGGCUAAACCAUGCACCGAAGCUGCGGCAGCGACACUAUGUGUUGUUGGGUAGGGGAGCGUUCUGUAAGCCUGUGAAGGUGGCCUGUGAGGGUUGCUGGAGGUAUCAGAAGUGCGAAUGCUGACAUAAGUAACGAUAAAGCGGGUGAAAAGCCCGCUCGCCGGAAGACCAAGGGUUCCUGUCCAACGUUAAUCGGGGCAGGGUGAGUCGACCCCUAAGGCGAGGCCGAAAGGCGUAGUCGAUGGGAAACAGGUUAAUAUUCCUGUACUUGGUGUUACUGCGAAGGGGGGACGGAGAAGGCUAUGUUGGCCGGGCGACGGUUGUCCCGGUUUAAGCGUGUAGGCUGGUUUUCCAGGCAAAUCCGGAAAACCAAGGCUGAGGCGUGAUGACGAGGCACUACGGUGCUGAAGCGACAAAUGCCCUGCUUCCAGGAAAAGCCUCUAAGCAUCAGGUAACAUCAAAUCGUACCCCAAACCGACACAGGUGGUCAGGUAGAGAAUACCAAGGCGCUUGAGAGAACUCGGGUGAAGGAACUAGGCAAAAUGGUGCCGUAACUUCGGGAGAAGGCACGCUGAUAUGUAGGUGAAGCGACUUGCUCGUGGAGCUGAAAUCAGUCGAAGAUACCAGCUGGCUGCAACUGUUUAUUAAAAACACAGCACUGUGCAAACACGAAAGUGGACGUAUACGGUGUGACGCCUGCCCGGUGCCGGAAGGUUAAUUGAUGGGGUUAGCGGUAACGCGAAGCUCUUGAUCGAAGCCCCGGUAAACGGCGGCCGUAACUAUAACGGUCCUAAGGUAGCGAAAUUCCUUGUCGGGUAAGUUCCGACCUGCACGAAUGGCGUAAUGAUGGCCAGGCUGUCUCCACCCGAGACUCAGUGAAAUUGAACUCGCUGUGAAGAUGCAGUGUACCCGCGGCAAGACGGAAAGACCCCGUGAACCUUUACUAUAGCUUGACACUGAACAUUGAGCCUUGAUGUGUAGGAUAGGUGGGAGGCUUUGAAGUGUGGACGCCAGUCUGCAUGGAGCCGACCUUGAAAUACCACCCUUUAAUGUUUGAUGUUCUAACGUUGGCCCGUAAUCCGGGUUGCGGACAGUGUCUGGUGGGUAGUUUGACUGGGGCGGUCUCCUCCUAAAGAGUAACGGAGGAGCACGAAGGUUGGCUAAUCCUGGUCGGACAUCAGGAGGUUAGUGCAAUGGCAUAAGCCAGCUUGACUGCGAGCGUGACGGCGCGAGCAGGUGCGAAAGCAGGUCAUAGUGAUCCGGUGGUUCUGAAUGGAAGGGCCAUCGCUCAACGGAUAAAAGGUACUCCGGGGAUAACAGGCUGAUACCGCCCAAGAGUUCAUAUCGACGGCGGUGUUUGGCACCUCGAUGUCGGCUCAUCACAUCCUGGGGCUGAAGUAGGUCCCAAGGGUAUGGCUGUUCGCCAUUUAAAGUGGUACGCGAGCUGGGUUUAGAACGUCGUGAGACAGUUCGGUCCCUAUCUGCCGUGGGCGCUGGAGAACUGAGGGGGGCUGCUCCUAGUACGAGAGGACCGGAGUGGACGCAUCACUGGUGUUCGGGUUGUCAUGCCAAUGGCACUGCCCGGUAGCUAAAUGCGGAAGAGAUAAGUGCUGAAAGCAUCUAAGCACGAAACUUGCCCCGAGAUGAGUUCUCCCUGAGACUUAGAGU
rnacentral:rRNA from 1 species